rnacentral:rRNA from 1 species
UACGUAGGGUGCAAGCGUUAAUCGGAAUUACUGGGCGUAAAGCGUGCGCAGGCGGUUUUGUAAGUCUGUCGUGAAAUCCCCGGGCUCAACCUGGGAAUGGCAUUUGGGACUGCAAGGCUGGAGUGCGGCAGAGGGGGAUGGAAUUCCGCGUGUAGCAGUGAAAUGCGUAGAUAUGCGGAGGAACACCGAUGGCGAAGGCAAUCCCCUGGGCCUGCACUGACGCUCAUGCACGAAAGCGUGGGGAGCAAACAGG